UCGAGGAUCUUCGGCAAUGAGCGCAAGCUUGACCGAGCGACGCCGCGUGCGGGAUGAAGGCCUUCGGGUUGUAAACCGCUGUCAGUAGGGAGGAAAUUUCAUGGGGUACUCUCUGUGAAUUGACCUAUCUGCAGAGGAAGGACGGGCUAAGUACGUGCCAGCAGCCGCGGUAAUACGUACCGUCCAAACGUUAUUCGGAUUUACUGGGCUUAAAGGGUGCGUAGGCGGUCCAGAAAGUUGGGUGUGAAAGACCUCGGCUCAACCGAGGAAGUGCGCCCAAAACUACUGGACUUGAGGGAGACAGAGGUAAGCGGAACUUAAGGUGGAGCGGUGAAAUGCGUUGAUAUCUUAAGGAACACCAGGAGCGAAAGCGGCUUACUGGGUCUCUUCUGACGCUGAGGCACGAAAGCUAGGGGAGCGAACGGGAUUAGAUACCCCCGUAGUCC
rnacentral:rRNA from 1 species